rnacentral:pre_miRNA from 1 species
GAUAUACUCCCUCCGUCCGGAAAUACUCGUCGGAGGAAUGGAUGUAUCUAGAUAUAUUUUAGUUUUAGAUACAUUCAUUUUUAGGCAUUUCUCUGACGAGUAUUUUCGGACCAAUGGUCCU